rnacentral:rRNA from 1 species
GACGAACGCUGGCGGCGUGCUUAACACAUGCAAGUCAAACGGAAAGGCCCUGCUUGCAGGGUACUCGAGUGGCGAACGGGUGAGUAACACGUGGGUGAUCUGCCCUGCACUUCGGGAUAAGCCUGGGAAACUGGGUCUAAUACCGGAUAGGACCAUCGUUUAGUGUCGGUGGUGGAAAGUUUUUCGGUGCAGGAUGAGCUCGCGGCCUAUCAGCUUGUUGGUGGGGUAAUGGCCUACCAAGGCGUCGACGGGUAGCCGGCCUGAGAGGGUGAGCGGCCACAUUGGGACUGAGACACGGCCCAGACUCCUACGGGAGGCAGCAGUGGGGAAUAUUGCACAAUGGGCGCAAGCCUGAUGCAGCGACGCCGCGUGGGGGAUGAAGGCCUUCGGGUUGUAAACUCCUUUCAACCAUGACGAAGCAUUAUGUGACGGUAGUGGUAGAAGAAGCACCGGCUAACUACGUGCCAGCCGCCGCCGUAA